rnacentral:lncRNA from 1 species
GAACCAGUGUAAAUUCAGUCCAAAGAGCCCUAGGGGAAAGAAGAAGAAGAAGAAAAGAGCGACCUUUCAUUCAGCACAAUUGAAAUUAGCAAAGAGGGCUUUAUUUACACUGGACAUUAUCAACCUAAUUAAAAAGGAGGCAUCUGGAAGUCUAACUCACAGAAAAUAUGAAUAGAAUGUGAUGGACUUCUGGUCACCAGAUAAAAGCUGUCCUGUUCUGGAGCUGAAUGGAAAAAGGAAGCCAACUGACAAGUGGUGGUGUGACCCAGCCUGGCUCUCAACAACCACAAAUCAGACUUCUUUAAGCCAGGAAGUGUGGAGGGUCAGAAGCCUAGCCAGGAAGCAAGAGAAGUCUGAGGCUAGCGAAUGACUUGAACUGAGGAGUUCUGAGCUGAAGUAUGACUAAGCCGAUGCGUGUCCACACUAAAUCCAGCAUCAAUAUGGUGAUAUCCCAGGAAUAGAUGGGUACCAGGCUACCUACCCAGGGGCGAACUGGCCCAGGAUGGAAAUGGAGCAGGUCAAAACUUCUUUCAAGAUCUGAAAUGGUAUCAAACAUAGGUAGCCAUUGCCCUUCCAGCCUGAGAGAGAUAAAGAGAUACAAUUUCAAAACGAAACAUCCAAAAUAGCACGUAUAUUGUAGGACACAAUGAAUAUGUUGGCUAACUUGAUUCAAUUAUUUUUUUCUUUUUAAAUCUUUUUUUUUAUCAGUAAAGGCUUGUUGGGUAGAAUGGGAAAGGAUAUAUUUGGAAACAGGGAAAUGAUCUAUUUAGAAACAGAUGAUAUUAAAAACAAAAGGCAUCAAUAAAAA